CUUCUCCCCAGACCCCACUCUUGUUUCUUGGGAUCGCUUUCUGCAUAAACUACCUGCACUCAAGCCAUUUCCUCGGCCUCUGCUUUGGGAGAGGAAGGAAGAAAUCAAGACUAGGACAAGAGUAAAGGAGGCAAUGUGUGCAACUUCCAAAUGACAAUUUCCAAAUGGUCUAAGCAAAUCAAAUAACUCAUUCUGUUUGGCUGUGAUUUGAGUAGAAGUAGAUAAUGUAACUACUUAUGGCCAAUAAGAUGGAAGAAGAAUUCUGCUGGGGCAUUUGGGUAAGAUUUUCCACACUGAAGAGUACUACCAGAAAAAAGAAAGCCUUCCUGAUGCCCUUUGUCUUUCUCAGGGCAAUGUCUGUGACAAUGUGAUGGUUGGAGCUGAGGCCGCCAUCUUGCGUGCAUGAGGACAGACAUCUCUCAUUUUGAAGAAGACAGAUGAGAAGGGAAGAAAGUGCCAAGCUGUCAUUGCUUUCUUGAGUUUCCCAACCAAUCCUGAGACUACCUGACAACAAGAUUCUUAAAUAAAUAAUAACCCUCUUGAUGAAUUUGAUCAGCGUUUAUUCAGGUAUUUGGAUGGAUGAAUUUGAAUUUAGCAAACUACAGAUGAGAAGGAAACAGCAGGACCAUUCCUAACACUUGUGGGACCCAGAGCAAGCUAGGAACAAUGACCCGCAAAUCACAUACUAAAUAUUUACCAGUUAAAAAUUAAGGUAUAAACUGCUAAGUUAAAUGUGUUCUGUCCUCAUGCCUUGGAAAAUAGUAUGCCAUCAUAACAACCUGAGAAGACAAAUUGCAAUUUUGAGUGUUUGAACUCCUUUUGGGGCAUUGUGCUGGAACAUGGUGAUACAAGAAGAUCCUAGUUCCAGUCCCUGAUCCAUGGGUGGGCAUCUUCCCUUCCCAUUCCCCAGCUCUGUCCUACCUGUGAGAUGUCUUGAGAGAACAUAUUCAGACACUUUAGCCUGCAAGUUCAAAUGUCAUCCAAUUCUCCCAUACUUCCAAUAGACAUACUCGGCUCCCCUGUGGACACCAAGGUAUGCAGAGCUGUGGAAGGAUGGACCGGGGAAAAGGCACACAUGGCUCUGAAACCAAAUCAUGGCCCAUUAGAAAGAAAUGUCAGAGUCCUGGGCACCUGAAGAACAGCCUGAACAAAACAGCUUGGAACUUUGAAACACAGCAGGAGAGAGGCCUUCAAAUGCAUGUGGCUUUUUGUAGGGGCUCUUCCUGACUGAGUCUAAGGUGAUACUGAGAAACAGUCUGUCAAGGGAAGAUGUUCACCCAAACAUCACCAGGAGACAGGCUGAAAUCUUAAAACCUCAGCAGCAUGUUGGUCCCCAGAAGUAUUUACAAAGUAGCUCUUCCCUUUUUCAUCUUAUUUGUAAGAUUCGAACUUCAGUGAUUUUCAGCAAAUGACGAGAAGUUGUUCUUAGAUGUAAAUCCACAGAGAUGGAUUUAUCAAGAAGCCAAUGAAGCUGAAGCUCAAGGCUUCUCACUGGCACAGGUUCUGAGGAAGAGCCUCGACAACAUAUUCACACAAUACGGAGGCAGCCAUCUUGUGAACAAGAGGGCAGACAUCAUCAUCUGAAGAUGGCAGAAUGUAUUUUUGUAAUACGUAAAGCUUCCAUCCAUUGUUGGCUGAAGGCUGCUCCUGGAGAUGUUGACUUCUCAGCACUUUCAAACUUCUCACUUCUUGGGCCAAGAGAAAGCCCUCG
rnacentral:lncRNA from 1 species